GAAAUCCUUAAAGAUGAUAAGAUUUCCAAAUUUAUUCAGCCUACAUCAGUGGAAUUUAGAAAGCAGACAGAGCAUCAGAGCGAAAGACAGAAUGAGGAAAUCAAGAUAAAAUCUACCAGCAGUUCACCAAGCGAGGUAAAAGAAUUUGAUAUUAAUUCGGAGUCCCAAUUAACUAGAAGACAUUUAUAAAAACUUAUGA
rnacentral:lncRNA from 1 species